UAUGUGGUGUUCAAGCAGGCAGAUUCAUUUUCUGCCACCGAAUACAUUAGCAUGGGAUAAUGGAAUAGGACCCUGUCCUCCUAUUUUCAGUUGGUUUUGGCAGCGCGAGGACUAGGGUAAUGAUUAAUAGGGAUAGUUGGGGGCAUUAAUAUUUAAUUGUCAGAGGUGAAAUUCUUGGAUUUAUGAAAGAUUAACUUCUGCGAAAGCAUCUGCCAAGGAUGUUUUCAUUAAUCAAGAACGAAAGUUAGGGGAUCGAAGACGAUCAGAUACCGUCGUAGUCUUAACCAUAAACGAUGCCGACCAGCGAUUAGGAGACGUUGAAUACAAAACACCACCAUCGGCGCGGUCGUCCUUGGCGCGUUCGUGUUCACGCACGAGCGCGCGAGGGCGGUUUAGCCCGGUGGCACCGGUGAAUGACUCCCCUAGCAGCUUGAAAGAA
rnacentral:rRNA from 1 species